GAUGAACGCUAGCGGCAGGCUUAACACAUGCAAGUCGAGGGGUAUAGGAAGCUUGCUUCCUAGAGACCGGCGCACGGGUGCGUAACGCGUAUGCAACCUACCUUUUACAGAGGGAUAGCCCAGAGAAAUUUGGAUUAAUACCUCAUAGUAUAUGUUUUUCGCAUGUUAGACAUAUUAAAGUAACAACGGUAAAAGAUGGGCAUGCGUCCUAUUAGCUAGAUGGUAAGGUAACGGCUUACCAUGGCAACGAUAGGUAGGGGUCCUGAGAGGGAGAUCCCCCACACUGGUAAUGAGACACGGACCAGACUCCUACGGGAGGCAGCAGUGAGGAAUAUUGGACAAUGGGCGCAAGCCUGAUCCAGCCAUGCCGCGUGCAGGAAGAAGCAUCUAUGGUGUGUAAACUGCUUUUGUACGGGAAGAAACACUCCCUCGUGAGGGAGCUUGACGGUACCGUAAGAAUAAGGAUCGGCUAACUCCGUGCCAGCCGCCGCAGUAACAC
rnacentral:rRNA from 1 species